rnacentral:lncRNA from 1 species
CAGCCACCAGGCACUGGGCGCGCGCUGGGCAGGCACUCGAGGAGAGAAGUUUCUCUGGGCUAGCCACCAGCCCGGGCGAAUCUAAACCACGUCCAAGAGGUGCGCAGACAGAUUUCCAGGAAAGGAAGGAGUGAGAGGAGGCCGUAGAACGGAAAAGCUGGGAAUGUUCUGAGAACAACUAGAUACUACAGUCAGCCUGCACAGGCCAGACCUUCGGACUUCUGUCCAGAGUAUUGCGUCGCCGCUACCACUUUCCAGCGGCAGGCGGCAAUCCACUCAGCGGACUUUCAGUCCUGCUGUGGAGUCGCGAGGCAGGAGUGGAUGGUGCAGGCAGAUCCAGCUCCAAGACGGCAGGAGAUUAGCCACGGGCCACAGGCCCUGCAGAGGCCAUGGUACACAUGGCCACGCCUCAGAACCGCUCACUUAACAGCUCCAAAUCAGCCCGCGUGCGUGGCCAAGAUUGGGCAGGUCCGACGCCCGCCAAGCCGCGCAGUUGAAACGUACCCAAAGAACUAGCCGAGGCCUGGCCUCAGCCUCAAGCUGGAGGACGCGCUGGGGCUUGCUGGUCUGGCCGGAUAUCCAGGAUCCAAGCACCCAGCUAGGCGCGCUCAUCUUCCCUGGACUGCGCCAGUCUCAGGCUCCUCCUCUCCCAAGAGGUUGAGUCCAUGGGCAGCGGACCUAUCCAGGCCUAAGUGGCCUCAGACUCAGGCAUGCCGUGAAAGUCGGGCUCCCGGACAGUCUAGGCACCUUCGGCUGUCUGGGGCAGAAGGAGGGCAGGCAGGCGCCCUGCUCUAAGUAAGAGCUCUUGUCAGAUAAGAGCAGUGGGGAGCCCCAUGCCCUGGUCACCUAAACCGGCCAGGAAUCGGCCCGGGGUGUGGGGAAAGGUGGGGGGUUGCGGUAGCAGGUGUCCCCCAGGCAAGAGGGUGCCUGCAUUUCCGUAAACAAAGAAACCGGGUAGUUUGUGUGUGGGGGGGGGGGCGGGGGGUGUUAGGAGAAUCGCAGACAAUCUCCUUCAUAAAAAUGUGAUCUAAGAGCAUUUGAUUUCCACUUUCACUCCCCCCACCCACCCGUGUACC